rnacentral:rRNA from 1 species
UACGGGGGGGGCAAGCGUUGUUCGGAAUUACUGGGCGUAAAGGGCUCGUAGGUGGCCAACUAAGUCAGACGUGAAAUCCCCAGGCUCAACUUGGGAACUGCGUCUGAUACUGGAUGGCUUGAAUUCGGGAGAGGGAUGCAGAAUUCCAGGUGUAGCAGUGAAAUGCGUAGAUAUCUGGAGGAAUACCGGUGGCGAAGGCGGCAUCCUGGACCGAGAUUGACACUGAUGAGCAAAAGCUAGGGGAGCAAACGGG